rnacentral:rRNA from 1 species
GACGAACGCUGGCGGCGUGCCUAAUACAUGCAAGUAGAACGCAGUUGCGAACGGGUGAGUAACGCGUAGGUAACUGCCUGGUAGCGGGGGAUAACUAUUGGAAACGAUAGCUAAUACCGCAUACUACCAGAUGGACCUGGGUUGUAUUAGCUAGUUGGGGAGGUAACGGCUCACCAAGGCAACGAUACAUAGCCGACCUGAGAGGGUGAUCGGCCACACUGGGAACGAGACACGGUCCAGACUCCUACGGGAGGCAGCAGUGGGGAAUAUUGCACAAUGGGCGCAAGCCUGAUGCAGCCAUGCCGCGUGUGUGAAGAAGGCCUUCGGGUUGUAAAGCACUUUCAGCGAGGAGGCGUUACUCGCAGAAGAAGCACCGGCUAACUCCGUGCCAGCAGCCGCGGUAAUAC